UUGUUUUACUUCCUGUCCUUGUGUUUCUGGGUUGAUUGUUUGCUCCUGCCCAAUGCGUUUCACCUGUGUCUCGUUAUCUCCACCUCCCUUAGGCAUUUAAGUCUCUGUCUCUCUGGUGUUGUUGCGUGUUCACUGUUCACCACUAGUGUUUCGUUGAGCCCAGUCUCUUGUGUUCUCCACGGUCUUGUGGAUUGUACUCGUGGUGUGAAUCUGUAUUUCUGUUUCUGUGGAUUUAUGGACUACCUACUCACCUGUUUUCAUUGUGGAGUACUGUGCGUUUUGUUUCUGGACCAUGAACCCCACCUCGCCUUGUGUUGACCUCGCUGAGCACUCACAGCCCGCAGCAGUGAGCUGAACCGUCAGACUGGACGGAGAGCUGGACAACAAGGACGUGUUUUCUGAGCAGCAUCAUGAAGAUGGAGGGCGCAGACUGGACUUCACACCUGUUGGUGCGUCUCCAGAACUCCGGACCGCUAAAAAUAAAAAUCAUCACAGGGACAGCAUUACGUCUUUCUUUGUAAAAAGGCAAACGUGGCUUAAUGAUGGAGAUUCAGCUACUUUAGUUCUUUUAUAUAAGAAGCUUUGUUUUGCUUGCACCUUUUCCAAGCAACCUCAUAAUCAACGUAUGCGCAUAUGGCAUUGAUUCAGCCUGUAUUAGGUACCAUAUUCUCAGGUAAACCAUAUUACUCUGCUGCUUUAUCUGUUUCAAUGAAAAGUCAAGUCUUUGACUAAACUCAAAUUAAUGAUCAGUUCUGCUCCACUGAAUAGAGUUUAUUUCUGUUUACCAUUUUUAAAUUGUUUUUUAUAUUAAUGUAUACUGUGUGCUACGUAGCAGAACAGAGUUACAGACUCUCAGAAUCUGUUGUAAUGUGACAAAGAAAUCUACCUUGGACCUUUUGGUCAUGUCACAUACAAUCACCAGUCAAACAAAGAAUUAUAUUUAACAUAAUGUAAAUGUUAAGAAUUUUUGCAGAAGUUCUAAUCUGAAGCUACAGUAAUGGUUAACUUCUUACUUUUGAGCUCAAGUGUCCUCAGAAGCCUGUGUGAUUACCUCAAUGAGGACAGUAGGACUCUCAUCAAGUAGUACUUGGUUAGUAAUCAAAAUUGAUUGUGAACUCUCAGUGUUAAACAUGUAAUGUUUUCUUUAUUUCAAAAUGGUCAGUUUAUGUUCCACCAUUAGGAUGUGAACAGUGAGGAAGCUAAGAGAGAGAUCGCACAGAGCACCAUGGGGCUCUAUCUGAUUUGCAGAAAAGGUGCUGAUGAAGAGGACAAGCCAGCGGAUGUUGGAGUGGUGGUCGAGGUUGUGGAACUGCUGAGAGAACUAGGAAGUAUUUGCUUUGGUUGUGCCAUGCUGUUUGGCCUGAUCCACACACUCAGCCUGAACUAUCCUCAAAUGUAAAUUUUAGUUCUACCAGAAGGUUUUAAUGAACCCAAAGGUGCAAACAUUAAAAAUUAAGAUGUUUCAGUGAGCUCUUGUGCUGGAAAGUUGGGCUAGCCACAUUUAGGCUUAACAGACUUAACCAUUGUUCGUGUGGUUUAAAAACACAAACAGCGUAACGACUUAUUGGUCUGAUUAUUUCUGGCAUCUUCAAUUGCCACUUUGUGUUAACUUGCUUAUUUUGUUAAGAUCUGCUGUUGGAGUGUUAUAGAUAUUGAACCUCUCUUGGACCAGUUCUGCGCUGAGAUGGCAUACUGUUAUACUACAUAUACUUUUUCAUGCAGGUAUUAAGGCCUUUUGCCUUUUUCAUGUUUCUCAUGUCUGACUUGUUCCCAUUCUGCAAUAAUAUCUCUAAGACUGACACUUGACAAUUUAAUGUUUUACAUUUUGCUGUAAUCCAGGUCCCGUCUUAGAACUGUAAGAAGUUCUUGGAGGGGGACGUAUAUGUGUGUGUAUUGUAGAUUGUAAAUGGAGAACAGCAUUAUCAUUUUUUCCCUAUGUGCUUGGAAGAUGGAGGCCUGUGCAUCACGCCGUCGGUCAGUCAGCAGUUAGGUCAGGAGGACCAUGUCCAAAUAUGUAAACAUGUAACUUGAGGUUGUAUUGUUCAGACUAUGUUAUCAUCAUAUUAGUGAGUAUUUGAUAAAAGGCUCUUUUGAAUGGUAAUCUAUGUUUUUUAAGAUUAUUUUAAAAUGUAUUUUAAGUUACUAUAGUAGAAAUACUUAUUCCAGUGCCUUAUUUCUUUUCUUCUUUAUUUUUUUUUAGCAUUUAUAGUACAGUUAGGUUUAUUAUACACUGGAAAACCUUGUGCACUUUGUCAUUAGCCGUUGUUUUUUUGCAAUAACAGGUCUUGCUGCUGUAAUGUUAAAAUUACUAUUGGCCAUGGUUGUAAUGAUUAUAAUAG